GAUGAAGAACGCAGCGAAAUGCGAUAAGUAAUGUGAAUUGCAGAAUUCAGUGAAUCAUCGAAUCUUUGAACGCACAUUGCGCCCGUCAGUAUUCUGGCGGGCAUGCCUGUUCGAGCGUCAUUACGCCCCUCAAGUCCCCUGUGGACUUGGUGUUGGGGAUCGGCGAGGCUGGUUUUCCAGCACAGCCGUCCCUUAAAUUAAUUGGCGGUCUCGCCGUGGCCCUCCUCUGCGCAGUAGUAAAACACUCGCAACAGGAGCCCGGCGCGGUCCACUGCCGUAAAACCCCCCAACUUUUUAUAGUUGACCUCGAAUCAGGUAGGACUACCCGCUGAACUUAAGCAUAUCAAUAGGCGGAGGA
rnacentral:misc_RNA from 1 species